rnacentral:rRNA from 1 species
GACGAACGCUGGCGGCGUGGAUUAGGCAUGCAAGUCGGACGGUAGGGCUUUAUCGUAAGAUAGAGUUUGAGAGUGGCGAACGGGUGAGUAACACGUAGGAAUCUACCCUUAAGACGGGGACAACCCGAGGAAACUCGGGCUAAUACCGGAUGUGGUACGGAGACAUAAGUCUCUUUACUAAAGGUAGCUUCGGCUUCCGCAUUGGGAGGGGCCCGCGGCCCAUUAGCUAGUUGGUGGGGUCAAGGCCUACCAAGGCAACGAUGGGUAGCUGGUCUGAGAGGACGAUCAGCCACACUGGGACUGAGACACGGCCCAGACUCCUACGGGAGGCAGCAGUGGGGAAUCUUGCGCAAUGCGCGAAAGCGUGACGCAGCAACACCGCGUGAGGGAAGACGGUUUUCGGAUUGUAAACCUCUGUCCUUGGUGAAGAACAAAUGACGGUAGCCGAGGAGGAAGCCACGGCUAACUACGUG